AUUGAACGCUGGCGGCAGGCCUAACACAUGCAAGUCGAACGAGUGGCGGACGGGUGAGUAAUUUCUGGGAAACUGCCUGGUGGAGGGGGAUAACUACUCGAAAGGGUAGCUACUACCGCCUACCAUCAACUGUCCCCAUAUGUGAUUAGCGAGUUGGUGGGGUAACGGCUCACCAAGACAACGAUCCCUAGCUGGUCUGAGAGGAUGACCAGCCACACUGGAACUGAGACACGGUCCAGACUCCUACGGGAGGCAGCAGUGGGGAAUAUUGCACAAUGGGCGCAAGCCUGAUGCAGCCAUGCCGCGUGUAUGAAGAAGGCCUUCGGGUUGUAAAGUACUUUCAGCGGGGAGGCGUUACCCGCAGAAGAAGCACCGGCUAACUCCGUGCCAGCAGCCGCGGUAAUAC
rnacentral:rRNA from 1 species